rnacentral:rRNA from 1 species
GUGAGUCAUCGAAUCUUUGAACGCACAUUGCGCCCGCCGGCAUUCCGGCGGGCAUGCCUGUUCGAGCGUCAUUUCAACCCUCAAGCCCGCUUGCUUUCGAGCAAGGCAGGUGCUUGGUGUUGGAGGAUCGCCCUGAGGCCCUACUUAGGUAGAGCUGACUGGCGACCUCUGAAAACUAGUGGCGGUCCCGCCCGCGGCAACUUUUGCGUAGUAGCACAAACCUCGCAUAUAGUUCCCGGUGGUGGCCAUGCCGUAAAACAAACCCAUUAUUUCAUGAGUUGACCUCGGAUCAGGUAGGAAUACCCGCUGAACUUAA